AUGAAGCUUAUAUGGGGUCCACCAGGUACUGGAAAGACCAAGAUGGUUAGCGCUUUAUUGUGGGUUUUGGCAUGUUUGAAAUGCAGAACUCUUACUUGUGCUCCCACUAAUGUUGCUGUCGUUGGAGUUUGCACUCGUUUCCUUAAAAAAUUGAAGGAUUUCAAUGAGCACAUUGAUGAAAAUGGUCUACCUUUUUCUCUUGGAGAUAUCUUGCUAUUUGGGAGCAGGUCUAACAUGGACAUCACCGAUGAUCUUCAGGAAGUUUUCUUGGAUUUUCGUGUCGACGAACUUGUUGAAAGCUUUUCAUCGUCGUCAGGAUGGAACUACAUAAUAGCUUCAAUGGUAUCCUUUUUAGAAGACUGCGCUUCACGGUAUGAUAUGCUUCUCGAGGAUGAUGGAAAAAUUGAUCCAGUGUGCUUUCUGGACUUCACAAAGAAGCAAUUGGAUGCGACAGCAAUAGCUCUGAAAAGAUGCAUAAUGAAUUUGUGGGCUCAUCUUCCUGGAAGGUGCUUUUCUCAUGAUAGUGUCAUAAAUAUAUCUAUGUUGCUUAAGAUGCUGGAAAAAUUUGGCGCCCUUCUUAGUGACGUAGACUUGACCGAUGAGGGCUUGAAAAGGGGCCUUGGUUGUCUGUCAACUGCAAACUCUGUUUGUGCAAAGCCUAUAUCUUCUAUUGAGAAGGAACUGGAUGAAGCAAGGUACACAUGCAUAAAGUUGCUUAAAGAUCUGCUACACUUGCUUAACUUACCCACUGGAGUAGACAAAAACUGGGUCAAGAACUACUGCAUAUGUAAUGCAACACUUCUUUUCUGUACCACCUCUAGCUCUUAUCAGUUACAUCACAUGGAUAUUGCACCGCUCGAUGUAUUAAUUGUUAAUGAGGCUGCUCAAGUGCGGGAGUGUGAAUUGGUGAUCUCACUACGGCUACAUUGGCUAAAAUAUGUUGUUUUGGUCAGGGAUGACUGUCAGCUGAGUGCGAUGGUUAAAAGCAAAGUAUGUAAAGAAGCUGGACUUGGAACAAGUCUUUUUAAGAGACUGGUUAAGCUAAAAUUUGAAAAACAUUUGCUGAAUAUGCAGUAUCGCAUGAAUCCUUGUAUCAGCUUAUUUCCAAAUGCUCAAUUUUAUGAGAGGAAAAUGUUAGAUGGUUCCAAUGUCCUGUCUUCUAGCUAUAAUAAGGAUUUCACAUGCCUCCCUUUUGGCAGCUACACGUUAAUAAAUGUCGCUGAUGGAAGGGAAGACAAAGAGGGCACAGGAAACAGUCGGAGAAACAUGGUUGAAGUUGCUAUUGUUUUUCACCUAAUCCAUACCAUCUUUAAAUCUUGGAAAAAGACAGGCCAAUGUUUCAGCAUCGGCGUGGUCUCUCCAUAUAAUGCUCAAGUUGAUGCAAUUAAAACUAGACUUGGCAAAAAGUACGAUAAAUGUGAUGGCUUUCAUGUGCGGCUGAAGUCCAUUGAGGGUUUCCAAGGAGAAGAGGAUGAUAUAAUAAUACUAUCAACUGUUAGAUCCAAUGGGAGAGGAGUUCUUGGAUUUCUUGCUGAUAACCAAAGAACAAAUGUUGCUCUUACUAGAGCAAGGCACUGUCUUUGGAUUGUUGGGAAUGCUCGUACACUGUAUAAAAGUGGGACCGAAUGGACAGACCUUGUUGCUGAUGCAGAAAGACGUAAAUGUGUUUUCAGUGCCACUAAUGACGCAACCAUCUGUAGGUUGGUUUUGCAAGUAAAGCAAGAGCUUGAUGAACUUGAUGAUCUUCUUAAUGCUGAUUCGGUGGUUUUCACCAAUACCAGAUGGAAGGUCAUUCUUAGCGAUGAGUUUAGGAAGUCCUUCACCAAACUCAAAUCACCACAGCUCAGGAGGGAAAUACUCCAAAAGCUUAUCAAACUUGGAGCUGGUUGGAGGACAACAGUUAAGAACCUUGACAUACCAGGUGCUUCUCAUCUUGCAAAAGUAUACAAGGUUAGAGACCUGUAUCUCGUAUGGAGUAUUGACAUGGAGAAAACCAAGAGAAAGUAUUUCCAGAUAAUAAAAAUUUGGGACCUACUGUCACAGCAAAAUGUUGCAAGAAUUGUUCAACGUUUCCAGAAUUUGUUUUCCAUGUACACGGAUGAUUACCUGGAUCACUGCAGGAGAGUGCAGACACAGGGGAAACUGGAAGUUCCUAUGGUUUGGGAUGUUGGACAUGCUAUUAUUCGCUAUAACAUGGAUUGCAAAGUGGAUGCUCAUGAAGAACAUGGUCUCGUGUAUACAUCAUAUGCCAUGGAAAAUUCAAAAGUAAGCGAAAGCUUCUUGCUGAUGAAAUUCUACUCUUUAUCAUCUGGAAUGGCAAAGCAUUUGCUGACAGCUACUGAUGGGUCUGAAAUCAACAUCCCCUUUGAACUGAGUGAUGAAGAGCAGGUGAUUAUCCAAUUCCCGCUCACUAGUUUUAUACUUGGGAGGUCGGGCAUCGGAAAAACCACUGUAUUGACAAUGAAAAUGAUUCAAAAAGAGAAACUGUCAUCGAUCGCAUCCCAAGGUCUAAAUUUGGAUGGAGCCGUGUCUGCGGCAGAUGACAAUAAACUUAUGCCACUAAAGAAUGGAGGAGAAUGUUCUGUGAAACAAAUAUUUAUCACUGUGAGCCCAAAGUUAUGUUCAGCCAUAAAAGAUUACAUCUACAGACUUAAAAGAUUUGGCACUGGUGAUGUCUCUGAACAGCCAAGCAUUCUUCGCAUGCAUGACGUCAUGGAUGACCUGGAAGAGUUUACAGAAAUUCCUGACAAUUUUUGUGAUCUACCUCAUGAGCACUAUCCUCUUACUAUAACAUAUCGUAAGUUUUUGAUGAUGCUUGAUGGAACAUGCCGGACAUCAUUUUUGGAUGUAUUUUAUGGUGAAAUGAAGUCUAGCUUUGAGAGAGGCCGUUCAAGAUCUCGUGCAGUGCAGACUUUUAUUGAAUUGAAUGAAGUUACCUAUGAAAAAUUUGCUACUUUCUACUGGUCUCGUUUUAAUAAAGACCUGACAAAGAAAUUUGAUGUGUCCACUGUUUUCACUGAAAUAGUCUCUCACAUUAAGGGCACAUAUCAAGCAAGGGGGCCUUAUACUGGCAAACUGGGAAGACAAGAUUAUGUGAUGCUCUCAGAUAAAAGAAUUUCGUCUUUGAGCAAAGAGAAAAGAAAUAAAAUUUAUGAUAUAUUCCUUGAAUAUGAAAGUAUGAAAUGCUCUGCCAGGGAGUUUGAUUUGUCAGAUUUUGUCAGUAGUCUUCACACUAGUUUUGUAUCUGAUGGCUACAAUGGAGAUUUGGUGGAUUUUGUUUACAUAGAUGAGGUACAGGAUCUGACCAUGACACAAAUAGCACUUCUUAAGUAUGUCUGCAGGAACAUCAAGGAAGGCUUCCUUUUUGCUGGUGACACUGCUCAGACUAUAGCAAGAGGUAUCGAUUUCAGGUUUGAAGAUAUCCGUUCACUUUUUUAUACUGCAUUCCUCACAGAAACUGAGGCGUCUAAACAAGGACUUAAACAUGGGGAGAAAUCCCAUCUCUCUGAUAUGUUCCAAUUGUCUCAAAAUUCCCGCACACACUGUGGCAUCCUCCGUAUGGCACAAAGUAUCAUGAGGCCUCUGUGCUUCUUUUUCCCAUCAAGUGUUGACAAGCUUAAUCCAGAGAAUGGACUGGUAUACGGAGAAGCUCCUGUGCUGCUGGAGUCUGAUAACGAUGAAAAUGCUAUUAUGAGAAUUUUUGGAGAAAACAAAAGUCAACAUGGUAAUUUGCAUGGGUUUGGUGCUCAGCAAGUCAUAUUAGUUCGUGAUGAUGCUACCAAAAAACAAAUUAUUGAUGUUGUUGGUAAACAAGCUCUUGUUCUGACUAUUGUUGAAUGUAAGGGCCUUGAGUUUCAGGUAUGGGCCUAUAAAUUCAGUUUCGUCUUUGUUCAUUUUGCAAAAUAUUUCAGUUGUAAAAUGCGCUGUUUCAGAAUGUUGAGUGUACUUACUUCAGAGGUAUUUUGUAGGAUGUGCUGUUGUACAACUUUUUUGUUCGUCGCCUUUAAGAAAUAA
rnacentral:rRNA from 1 species